rnacentral:rRNA from 1 species
AUUGAACGCUGGCGGCAGGCCUAACACAUGCAAGUCGAGCGGAUGAAGGGAGCUUGCUCCUGGCUUCAGCGGCGGACGGGUGAGUAAUGCCUAGGAAUCUGCCUGGUAGUGGGGGAUAACGUCCGGAAACGGGCGCUAAUACCGCAUACGUCCUGAGGGAGAACGUGGGGGAUCUUCGGACCUCACGCUAUCAGAUGAGCCUAGGUCGGAUUAGCUGGUUGGUGGGUAAAGGCCUACCAAGGCGACGAUCCGUAACUGGUCUGAGAGGAUGAUCAGUCACACUGGAACUGAGACACGGUCCAGACUCCUACGGGAGGCAGCAGUGGGGAAUAUUGGACAAUGGGCGAAAGCCUGAUCCAGCCAUGCCGCGUGUGUGAAGAAGGUCUUCGGAUUGUAAAGCACUUUAAGUUGGGAGGAAGGGCAGUAAGUUAAUACCUUGCUGUUUUGACGUUACCAACAGAAUAAGCACCGGCUAACUUCGUG